rnacentral:rRNA from 1 species
AUUGAACGCUGGCGGCAUGCCUUACACAUGCAAAGUCGAACGGCAGCACGGGAGCAAUCCUGGUGGCGAGUGGCGAACGGGUGAGUAAUAUAUCGGAACGUGCCCGGUCGUGGGGGAUAACGUAGCGAAAGCUACGCUAAUACCGCAUACGAUCUACGGAUGAAAGCGGGGGGAUCGCAAGACCUCGCGCGAUUGGAGCGGCCGAUAUCAGAUUAGGUAGUUGGUGAGGUAAAGGCUCACCGAGCCGACGAUCUGUAGCUGGUCUGAGAGGACGACCAGCCACACUGGGACUGAGACACGGCCCAGACUCCUACGGGAGGCAGCAGUGAGGAAUAUUGGACAAUGGGCGCAAGCCUGAUCCAGCCAUGCCGCGUGCAGGAUGACGGUCCUAUGGAUUGUAAACUGCUUUUAUACAGGAAGAAACACUACUUCGUGAAGUAGCUUGACGGUACUGUAAGAAUAAGGAUCGGCUAACUCCGUG